AGGAGGAACAACCACAGUGGCAGGGCCAGCUCUGGAGCCCUGGAUUCAGCCCCCGCAGUAACUCCGGAGCUCUCCGUCUGCAGGGCCUGGAGGCUCCGGGGCGGG
rnacentral:pre_miRNA from 1 species